AAUGAACGCUGGCGGCGUGCCUAACACAUGCAAGUCGAACGAGAAAGCCCGCAAGGGUGAGUACAGUGGCGCACGGGUGAGUAAUACAUAGGAAUCUGCCUCUGAGUGAAGAAUACCCUAGAGAAAUUUAGGUUAAUACUGCAUAAGCCCAGAAAUGGGGAAAGGUGGCCUCAAGCUACCGCUGAGAGAUGAGCCUAUGGCCUAUUAGCUAGUUGGUAGGGUAAAAGCCUACCAAGGCGAGGAUGGGUAGCCGGCCUGAGAGGGUGUACGGCCACACUGGAACUGAGACACGGUCCAGACUCCUACGGGAGGCAGCAGUGGGGAAUUUUGGACAAUGGGCGAAAGCCUGAUCCAGCCAUGCCGCGUGUCUGAAGAAGGCCUUCGGGUUGUAAAGGACUUUUGUCGGGGAGGGAAUCCCCAGCGCUAAUACCGCUGGGGGAUGACAGUACCUGAAGAAUAAGCACCGGCUAACUACGUGCCAGCAGCCGCCGCGUAA
rnacentral:rRNA from 1 species